CUUUCUAUGGAGAGUUUGAUCCUGGCUCAGGACGAACGCUGGCGGCGUGCUUAACACAUGCA
rnacentral:rRNA from 1 species